rnacentral:rRNA from 1 species
UAUCUGCCGUGGGCGCUGGAGAAUUGAGGGGGGCUGCUCCUAGUACGAGAGGACCGGAGUGGACGCAUCACUGGUGUUCGGGUUGUCAUGCCAAUGGCAUUGCCCGGUAGCUAAAUGCGGAAGAGAUAAGUGCUGAAAGCAUCUAAGCACGAAACUUGCCCCGAGAUGAGUUCUCCCUGAGACUUAAAGUCUCCUGAAGGAACGUUAAAGACGAUGACGUUGAUAGGUCGGGUGUGUAAGUGUAGCGAUACAUUGAGCUAACCGAUACUAAUGAACCGUGAGGCUUAACCUU